UACGUAGGGUGCAAGCGUUGUCCGGAAUUAUUGGGCGUAAAGAGCUCGUAGGCGGUUUGUCGCGUCUGGUGUGAAAACUCAGGGCUUAACCCUGAGCCUGCAGUGGGUACGGGCAGACUAGAGUGUGGUAGGGGAGAUCGGAAUUCCUGGUGUAGCGGUGGAAUGCGCAGAUAUCAGGAGGAACACCGGUGGCGAAGGCGGAUCUCUGGGCCAUGACUGACGCUGAGGAGCGAAAGCGUGGGGAGCGAACAGG
rnacentral:rRNA from 1 species